rnacentral:rRNA from 1 species
AGUGAACGCUGGCGGUAGGCCUAACACAUGCAAGUCGAACGGCAGCACAGUAAGAGCUUGCUCUUACGGGUGGCGAGUGGCGGACGGGUGAGGAAUACAUCGGAAUCUACUUUUUCGUGGGGGAUAACGUAGGGAAACUUACGCUAAUACCGCAUACGACCUACGGGUGAAAGCAGGGGAUCUUCGGACCUUGCGCGAUUGAAUGAGCCGAUGUCGGAUUAGCUAGUUGGCGGGGUAAAGGCCCACCAAGGCGACGAUCCGUAGCUGGUCUGAGAGGAUGAGCAGCCACACUGGAAGGGAGACACGGCCGGACCCCAAACGGGAGGCAGCAGGGGGGAAUUGUGAAAAAGGGGCGAAGGCUUGACCCAGCAAUCCGGGGGGGGGAAAGAGGGCUUGGGGGUGGAAAGCCCUUUUUGUGGGAAAAAAAAACCAGCGGUUAAAUCCCCGGUUGUCCGGGCGUACCCAAAAAGAAAAGCCCGGACAAGCUUGGGA